AAAGCCUAGAGAGGAGGACUCUCA
rnacentral:siRNA from 1 species